rnacentral:rRNA from 1 species
AGAACGAACGCUGGCGGCGCGUUUAAGCAUGCAAGUCGAGCGGCAAGGGCCUCCGGGCCCCUAGAGCGGCGGACGGGUGAGUAACACGUGGACAAUCCUGCCCCCCGGCCCGGGAUAGCCCAGGGAAACCUGGAUUAAUACCGGAUGAGACGGGACCCGCGAUGGCGGGAUCCGGGAAAGGCGCUGCGGCGCCGCCGGGGGAUGAGUCUGCGUCCCAUUAGCUAGACGGCGGGGUAACGGCCCACCGUGGCGACGAUGGGUAGCCGGCCUGAGAGGGUGGACGGCCACAUUGGAACUGAGACACGGUCCAGACUCCUACGGGAGGCAGCAGCUAAGAAUCUUCCGCAAUGGGCGAAAGCCUGACGGAGCCGACGCCGCGUGAACGAAGAAGGCCGUGAGGUUGUAAAGUUCUUUUCGGGAGGGGGAACAACCGUGGCAGGGAAUGGCCGCGGGAUGACGUGAAUCCCGGAAUAAGCCCCGGCUAACUACGUGCCAGCAGCCGC